CCUACGUGAGGCAGCAGUGAGGAAUAUUGGUCAAUGGGCGCGAGCCUGAACCAGCCAAGUAGCGUGAAGGAUGACUGCCCUACGGGUUGUAAACUUCUUUUAUAAAGGAAUAAAGUGAGGCACGUGUGCCUUUUUGUAAGUACUUUAUGAAUAAGGAUCGGCUAACUCCGUGCCAGCAGCCGCGGUAAUAUGGAGGAUCCGAGCGUUAUCCGGAUUUAUUGGGUUUAAAGGGAGCGUAGAUGGGUUGUUAAGUCAGUUGUGAAAGUUUGCGGCUCAACCGUAAAAUUGCAAUUGAUACUGGCAGUCUUGAGUACAGUGGAGGUAGGCGGAAUUCGUGGUGUAGCGGUGAAAUGCGUAGAUAUCACGAAGAACUCCGAUUGCGAAGGCAGCUUACUAAACUGCCACUGACAUUGAUGCUCGAAAGUGUGGGUAUCAAACAGGAUUAGAUACCCUAGUAGUC
rnacentral:rRNA from 1 species